GUUCCGAGUCGUUUGAGGGUGUCUGGUAAAGCAAGCUCGGGGCGGUGUUGGAAAUCUGAAUGUCACCCGCGGUCCGGAGCAGAUAGGAUGGGCUGGGAAGGUACCCGCGAACUGCCGCCGGAAUUCGCUGGCAGCUGUGCGAGGCUCAGAUUAUUUAAAUUUUCCACAAAUUUCUACGGAUUAAUUCAAUGGCAGCUCACUUUCUCCUUUUAUGAUCGGAUGGGUCCGAAAGUGAGGAAAAAGACAAUUGUCUACAAAGAAAGAGGCUGCCAAGUGGAGACAGAAAAGCAGUUAUGAGACUGAUGAUAGAUUCCAAUUUGUUAUCGGAAGGAGGAGACCUGAACAGUACAUCCGGAGAAUCCAGCAAAGCAUACUACGGCAUGAACGUGCAAGUGGACAGAAUUAAAACACAUGCCAGAAACACUAAUGGAUUCUAAACAAGAUGCAGUUUCAUUUCCUGAGCCUAUACGUGAUGUUUUUAACUGUUCUCCAGUUAAUAUGUCUCCAUUUCCAGAAAUCUAACAGGAGAAUCUCUGACUGCUUAACAGAUCACCUAAGCUUGCGAUUUGUGCAAUCCUUUCUAGAGUAAGGGCUCCCCGGCUGCUCCCCGGCCACUGUGUACCCAAAGCAGCGGCUGAAAUAGCCCGGAGUCCAACAGCUCAGCGUCAAGCAGCUCGUGGUUUGUACUUACAUCAUUUUUUUUUUCAGAGCAAGAGUGAAAGUUUAUUAAAAAGCGUUAGAACAGUAAGGAAAGGAAAGGAGAGAAAAUAAGGAAAGUACAACUUGGAAGAGGGCCAAGCGGGCGACUUGAGAAAUCAAGUGCCUGUACUUACAUCAUUCUUAACCCUUUCGCUCCUGGAGGGGGCUCAGCGGGAUCAGGGGGCCCCUGAACUUCGGAACACGCAGGAC
rnacentral:lncRNA from 1 species